rfam:Drosophila virilis strain TSC#15010-1051.87 Ctg01_17359, whole genome shotgun sequence.
AAAUAUUUUUAUCUCUUUGAAAUUUGUCCUGGUGGGACCCUUUGCUUAGGCAUUGAGUGUUCCGAA